rnacentral:lncRNA from 1 species
UUUUUCUUCUUUUUCUUCUUUUUCUUUUAUUUUUCUUCUUUUUCUUCUUUUUUUUCUUCUUCUUCUUCUCUCGGGCUCCUUCCAGGCCGAACAGGGGACCGAUGGUUCUCCUCUUUUGCCAGGCCAUUCAGGCCGUGGCCGCUACGGCGGAGGCCGGCGGCAGAGGGGGGCCACUCCCUCGGUUACGGAAAAGCAUGUCCGGCGGUCGAUUGCGAUCAUCGGUGCCGAAAAAUUCAAGGAAAAAGAGGCCAAAACAGGGGUCUCUUUUCCGACCAAAAAUCGGCGACAACCGUCGCCGGCAGUCGCGCACAAAGGCACGGGGAGAAGGGGAA